AAGUCGUAACAAGGUUUCCGUAGGUGAACCUGCGGAAGGAUCAUUACUGAGUAAUUGGGUCUCUAUGGCCCAUACUCCCACCCUUUGUGUACCUUACCAAAUUUUAAGUUGCCUUGGUAGGAACCUACCACUUCCCCCCUAUAAUAAGGGAGGUUAGUGGCAAGGCCUGCCAUUGGAACUCCUUUAAAACUCUUUUUGAAUCGAGUCGUCUGAGAAAUAAAUUCAAAUGAAUUAAAACUUUCAACAACGGAUCUCUUGGUUCUG
rnacentral:misc_RNA from 1 species